rnacentral:rRNA from 1 species
CAGUAGCCGCGGUAAUACAGAGGGUGCGAGCGUUAAUCGGAUUUACUGUGCGUAAAGCGUGCGUAGGCGGCUUCUUAAGUCGGAUGUGAAAUCCCUGAGCUUAACUUAGGAAUUGCAUUCGAUACUGGGAAGCUAGAGUAUGGGAGAGGAUGGUAGAAUUCCAGGUGUAGCGGUGAAAUGCGUAGAGAUCUGGAGGAAUACCGAUGGCGAAGGCAGCCAUCUGGCCUAAUACUGACGCUGAGGUACGAAAGCAUGGGGAGCAAACAGGAUUAGAUACCCCAGUAGUCCCUGUCUCUUAUAC